UACGUAGGGGACGAGCGUUGUCCGGAAUUACUGGGCGUAAAGGGCGCGCAGGCUGCGCGUCGAGUCGGCUGUGAAAGAUCCGGGCUCAACCCGGUGAAGCGGUCGAGACCGACGUGCUGGAGUGCUGCAGAGGCAAGUGGAAUUCCCGGUGUAGCGGUGAAAUGCGUAGAUAUCGGGAAGAACACCGGUGGCGAAGGCGACUUGCCGGGCAGCAACUGACGCUGAGGCGCGAAAGCCAGGGGAGCGAACGGG
rnacentral:rRNA from 2 species